ensembl:lncRNA
GUUAGAGUGAAUUGUUAAAUGUUUGUCAUUUUUAUGCUUGCCAUCCAUCUCUAUAUAGUUUAACUGUGGGAUGAAAACAAUUCCACUGUCCCCUCCCCAGACUCGUGAGUUUCUGGAUGAGGGGCUGUCAGAUACAUCCUAUCUGGAAGAUCUACUUCUUUUGAUGUAAGCUUCCUGCGUUUACGACCCUUUGGUCAGCAGGAGGUCUAACACACACACACACACACACACACACACACACACACACACACACACACUGCCUCGUCUUUGUAACCAAGGGGGGUUAAGAGGGGAGGUACGUGUUGUAAACUAUUGUGUGAACUGUAACAGUUUGUCAAUAAAUAGCUGCGAGGGAAGCUGCUCUUUGAAGGACUUUGGGCUGGAGACGGGUUAGGAGCUGGUUCUUGACCAAAGACUUCCCUUGCUAGCAAGUAAAGGAUGUUCGUCUUGUUUCUGUCGUUAACGGGAAUAAGUUUCUAAACCAGCGGGGUCUGAGUUUAGACCCAACAUUUAUUUGGUCCUUCGAGCCGGAUCCUAAAACAUCGCAUCCACCACGAGGAGAGGGAGAGGACGCCGCCGCAGUCUGCUAGCAGCCAUCGUCUGGGACGAUUGACGAAAGCCCUGGUUUCUUUACUUUGUCACCAGGCCGGAAAGUUUGCGUCUGAACUCCCCCGGGAUGGAUGGCGAUUGACGGGAACCAGAAACUUUUCCCAUGAACGAAAACAACACGAACAGUGAGUAAAAAAAGGCCUUAUGCGUCACUGAGACUGCGCGGGCAGACGCAGGUCCAGGGGAGCGCUGGUUGCGCGGGUUUCACGCGAACCUAAAACAAUAGAGAGCGGCUACGUGACCGUGCGGUUUCUCGCAGGUACGGGAGUACGCCAGCCGUGCGGGAAGGUCGCAGGCUAUUAAAGAAACGGCUCCGUAGCUGCGCGGUUUCACGCGAGCACGGGAGUGCGUUGGCUGUGCGUUUAGGACGCAGGUCAAAGAGAGCUGUGCGUGCAGACGCAAGCGAUAGGCCUAUUUUAUGUGUGUGCGGGCCAGACGUGGUCUGCGUGAGUGUGGCUGAUUGUUGUCUUGUAAUGGAGAAUAAAAUGUGUAAGUCUGCCUUAGAAGGGGAUGCAAAAUUUAUGGAGAAAUUUUCACCGGGCAGCACGCAGUAUAUAGGUUGUUGGCGUAAGAAAUAUGGAUUUGAAGGGACAUUAGUGGAAGUUCAGUGUAAAAUGCUGGUAGAAAGAAUAGCUGUAAGUGUAGCAGGUAAAACAGGGAAAGUUAAGCGGAGGAAGGAAGUUGUGGCUGGAGCAGGCUCAAAAGAGAAGAGAGGCAGAGGUGGUGGAGAGAUUAAAGGCUGAGUAUGGAGAGGCAUUAGGAGCAGCAUUGAGUCCAAUACAGACUAAGAAAGAGAGGAAAGAGAAAGCAAAGCAAGUGAACAUAAACGUUGCAACCACAUAUCCAUCUUUGACAACAGACAAAACAAAACAAAAAAACAUUGUGUUUAAGUUUGUCUUGAAAGAGGAUGAAAUACACUGCAAAGUUUUUAUUGGGCAGCACGUGGUGUGUGGAUCGUUGAUGAAUGGAGUGAAAAUUGUGCUCUAAGCAGAAGCGAGUGUGAGUGUGUCUGACGUCACGGUGUGUGUGAAAAGGUAUCCAGCUGGGGCAGACGUGAUUCUGCAGGUCACCUGCUCAGUGGACAAAAAGAAAUAAAAUAGUUGUGUGGAUGAAUGAUAGCACGAAGAGUGUUUGGUGUUUCUCAGCCUGAAACAACUGUAAUGCUACUUUCUGUUUUGGAGGAAAGGACAGUUUAAAAAAAAAAAAAAAAAAAAAAAGGAGAGAGAGAGAGAUGUGUGUUGUUUUAAGCAGUGAUGAGAAUAAUGAAAAUGUGAUGAGAGAGGAACACAAAAAAACAUACAGAUAAUGCAUUAACCAUGCUAACCCUACAUGCAUACACAAUGAAUGAUAUUCCUGAAGACUGGACAGCAUCUUAAGCAUGAGAUUCUGUUUGUCAUCUUGUCCAAGUCACUAGUAAGAUGAAAAUGAUACAUGGACUAGUGGACUAAAUAUUAUAGGAGGACAGAUGGUUGCAUCAUAUUGAAAACAGAAUGCUGAUGAGGGUCUUGAAUGAGUGAGCUGAGUGAGCUGAUUGUGAGUUUCUGGUGUGUGAAGAAGUUUUAACAUGGCACACAUUUGGUUACAAGAGAAGAAACUUAUUAUGUGAUGAGACAACAGGGUUAUGCUGUAUGUUGUGUGUGGCUGAUUGGAUGAAUGUUUGAGAUUAAACUGGCUGUUGAUUUAUCUUUUGUUAAUAAGUUGAGCCUGCCAAUUGGGUUGGUACAAUUUAUCCCCCUGGCAUGAAAAACACGUGUCAUGACUUAACAAGGUCUUUCUUUCUUUUGCUUUCCUUUAUUUUCUUUCCUUUCUUUUUAUUUUGUUACUUUCAUAGUGCACUGAAAGUUUCGUUUGAUGAUCUCUGUUUGAGCAGAGAUGCAUGAUUAGAACAGAAGCGUUAUACGACUCGUCGUCGAGAAAACUGUUGCAAGUGAGUUUCUCCAUUAAAAUGGGCUUGGGAGAAAGUCACUUAUUUGGGACAAUCCAAAAACAAGUCCCUGCCAAAAAGGAUUCACCGAGAUAAUCCAUCUAAAGUUCUUUUUUCUUUUUGAAAUGACGUCAUUUUGCUGAAUGUGGACACUAAAUAUGACGAUAUGUCCCACUAUUAGCAAAGAAAGAAUGAAUGAAUGCAUGCAUGAAUGAGUGGAAGAGAGAAAAGAAAGAAAACUGACUGACUGGUAAAAGUGGACAGAAGCUGACAGACUGACUGACAUCACUGUGUGAAGUUAACCCCCACUUGAGGUGCAGAUAAAUCUAUGUGUGUUUCUUUUUACAGGAGCAGAAAGAUGACAGCAACAUCCGAGGUUGUGUGACAAUUUAGCCUUUUAAAUGUCACUUUCUGUGUCUUUGCAUCUACCAGGGGUGUUAUUCACUACCUUGUGUUGCUCACAGAGAUUACUGUGAGAAAGUGUGUAUCCAACUGCGCAGCGCUAAUAUUUACAUUCCUUUUUACAGCAGGACACAACUUAAUGAUGUUUUUUUUUACCACAGGAUUACUGAGAUUUUGUGAGAAGAAAACUGGAGUAACAGGCUAUAUGUUGAUGAUGAAAUUACACUGUAUUGUUGAGAAAAUGUGAAUGUUACAGGGGAGAAAUUAAUACAGUUUGAGACAUACUGUGAUGAAACCAUUGUUACUUUUUCCACAGCGAGUGUUAACUUUAUGACCUUUUUACAGCAUCUCUGGAAUCUGGAUGGCCCACGCCUGACCAGCAGGAUGAACCGUGUGUUAAUGUUUGUUUUCCUUUAAGAGUGCUUGUAAAGGAUUCAGCACAGACAGACAAGUGACAAUUGAACAAAUGUGCAGUGGUUACAGAAUAGUUGAAUAUGGGGCUCAUUAGCUGGCCACUAUUGAGCUCACAGUGAUAAAAAUGAGUGGAGUGACAAACUUAAGGAAAGUCACCGAUUAAAUUGUGGAAUAAUUCGGGAUGAUUGAUGAUUUGGGACAAAUUAUGAUAAUAAUAGUGAUUUGAAGACUGGAGAAAACCUGCACAUGAUAUUUGUCUUUUAUGCUGAAUACUUUAUUAAUCUUAUGAUCUAUAGUCGGUUGAAAAUGUGAAGUUUGAUUUAACAGAUUUGUCUUCCAGGAUACAGGCUCCAGGUGGAGCUGAGAGUUAGACAAGCUAAACAUUUAAUUGCUGACUGAUGUUUUUACACAGGGUUACAGCUUGGAGUGAAGCUGCUCCAAGGGACAAACCCUGGAGAUUGUUUUAGGGGGACUGUGCAACAUUCUUGUACAUGUCUCAUUGGGGAGUUGACACAUGGUGGAAGCCAUGUGGCGAGAGGAGUGUCAUUUUAAUUUGCAGAUGUCGUGAGACGCCAUGACGAGAAGGACAAAGAAGGUCCACAAGAUGGAAGCUGAGGCCUCGAGAGAGUCUUCAGGAGAGUUGGAGAUCACCUUCAGCACAGAGAGCUGUGCUACUGGGCUUCCAGGAGAUCGUCAUGAGGAGACUCUGCACUGCAAAAUCUUAAAUGAGAUGAAAGACUUUCGACGUUGACGUUGAGGAAGACAACUAAGGUGUACGACGUGCUCUGCCUUUAAAAUCUUCAGCAGCGUUGGAACAUGAGAACCGGAGGGAGCGUGCCAGGCUCCAUAAGUGACAGCGCAGAGGAGGUCCAGCGAUGGACUUGUGGUUCUGUGAACAGCACAAAUGCCAGGCCAUGGAGAGGAAGUGCUGGUCCAGUCCAUGGUGGGAAGGUCCAUAUCGGGUGCUGCUGACGACGACCACAGCAGUGAAGAUUGCUGAAAGGAUUACUUGGAUACAUCAAGCGCACUGCAAGAAGGUAACACACUUUCUGGCCGACUCUGGGUGAUGGUGAAGAGGCCAGCGGUACAAAGGGGGGGGAAAGCCUCCAGGGCCCCUCGUCUCAAUCCUGGUGAAGAAACCAACGGAUCCUGAACCCAACUUAGAAUGGCUGGGAAUGUGCUGUUCGCCUUCUUGUGCCUGUGGACCCUGAGUGGGAUGACAGGAAGCGCACUGGGACAGAGCAAACUACACCCAGUACCCGCAUGGGUUUUCAACAACUACUGGUGGCAGUUUGUGAACAACCGCUCACAUAAAGAACGAGACCAAUGGUUAUGCUUGUGAUGCCACUGGCUACACAUUCUUCUGGACUGUGGCCAUAUAGCAUCACUGAGAGCGAGACAGUUUGUUUGGUUGCCUUAGCAACACAUCCAGGAGUAAAUGUACUUGGAACACUGCCAACAUUUCAACUCCUCUGAACCUGAAUGGACGGUUGGUUCACCAGUAGCUGGGAAGGUGAACUGCUCUGGUACGACAGACCUGCUAGUCUGACUCCAAGAAUCUGACUUGCUGCAGGACAUUGAACAGCUAAACGAACUGGAAACAGGCCAGUUGCCUAUGUGUGUGAAGGCCAAUGGAUUAGUCCAAGUUGGAGAUUUACCAUGGAAUUUGUACACCAUCACCUAUUCUUUUGUCCUCUGCAAGAAGGAUGUAAACAGAGAAGCUUUUGUCUACAUUUACAUGAACUGAGUUACAUGAAUAAGCUUGUUGAGGUUGUGAGCCAAGAAGAUCAAAACACCUUGAUCCAAUUUCCUUUACAAAGCUUUUCCUGUGGUGACAACAGGACAGGAGAAGAGUUGUAAAAAGCAGAUAAUUCACCAGUUGACUCUAAUCCCCACUGCCUACAGUGAGAAGAUCUCGGGGGAUUGAUAGGAGUCAUAAAGAAGGGUGUUGACCAGGCUACAGCUUUGAAGUUAGCUGAGAGCCACAUGGACAAAAGAUAAAGUCAACUGAUGUGUUUGAAUGUCUAUGUCUGUAUACGGUUGUAUUGUAGUGACAUAUGAUUUUUGAGAAUGUUGAUUCUUCUUGUUUGACUGUUACAUUCAGUUGUUUACUUGUAGAAAUACAUAAUGAAUCGCACGACAGGAGUAGAUGCACCACAAGGCUGGAUAACUUGGUUAAUGUCUGGUCCUUGGUGGCAUCUUCUUUUGAAAAUAUUAAUUCCUGUUUUUGGACUGUUGACAUUUGAUUUGCUUAUGUAUAGGAUGCAUUUUACAGUGUAUAAGAUCAAUGCGAACUAAGAUGAUUUCUAAUACAUUUGUUAAUUAUGUACUUUUACAACAGUAUGAAUUGACUGACAUGAAUGACAUGACAGAAGCCUGUGUAUAAAUGAAGCCUGCGCUGAAAUUGUCAAGCAAGAGGUGCAUGACUAAGAAUAUAUUACACAGGAAUAAUUUGGAGCAUAAAAAUCACAAAACAGGAGGGAAUGUUAGAGUGAAUUGUUAAAUGUUUGUCAUUUUUAUGCUUGCCAUCCAUCUCUAUAUAGUUUAACUGUGGGAUGAAAACAAUUCCACUGUCCCCCUCCCCAGACUCGUGAGUUUCUGGAUGAGGGGCUGUCAGAUACAUCCUAUCUGGAAGAUCUACUUCUUUUGAUGUAAGCUUCCUGCGUUUACGACCCUUUGGUCAGCAGGAGGUCUAACACACACACACACACACACACACACACACACACACACACACACACACACACACACACACACACACACACACACACACACACACACUGCCUCGUCUUUGUAACCAAGGGGGGUUAAGAGGGGAGGUACGUGUUGUAAACUAUUGUGUGAACUGUAACAGUUUGUCAAUAAAUAGCUGCGAGGGAAGCUGCUCUUUGAAGGACUUUGGGCUGGAGACGGGUUAGGAGCUGGUUCUUGACCAAAGACUUCCCUUGCUAGCAAGUAAAGGAUGUUCGUCUUGUUUCUGUCGUUAACGGGAAUAAGUUUCUAAACCAGCGGGGUCUGAGUUUAGACCCAACAGAAACU